rnacentral:rRNA from 1 species
GGCAUGGCGGCUGGCUUACCAUGCAGUCGAACGGCAGCGCGGGAGCUGUCCUGGGGGCCAGUGGCGAACGGGUGAGUAAUACAUCGGAACGUGGCCCUUCGUGCGGGAUAACGCGUCGAAAGCUGUGCUAAUACCGCAUACGAUCUACGGAUGAAAGCAGGGGAUCGCAAGACCUUGCUCGAAUGGAGCGGCCGAUGGCACAUUACGUAGUUGGGGAGGUAAAGGCUCACCAAGCCUUCUAUCUGUAGCUGGUCUGAGAGGACGACCACCCACCCUGGGACUGAGACACGGCCCACACUCCUACGGGAGGCAGCAGUGGGGAAUUUUGGACAAUGGGCGAAAGCCUGAGAUGCCAUGCCCCGUGCGAGAUGAAGGCCUUCGGGUUGUAAACUGCUUUUGUACGGAACAAAAAGUCUCUUUCUAAUAACCUGGAAUCAUGACGGUACCUAAAUAAUAGCCACCGGCUAACUACAUGCCUACAGCCCCGGUAAUACCUAGGGUGCAAGCGUUAAUCGAAAUUACUGGGCGUAAAGCGUGCCCGCGCGGUUAUGUCAAACCUCAGUGACAUCCCUGGGCUCAACACGGGAACAGCAUCGGGGACUGCAUAACUAUAGUACUGCAGAGGGGGAUGGAAAUCGCCGUGAUAUAGUGAAAUGCAUAGAUAUGCA